GAUGAACGCUAGCUACAGGCUUAACACAUGCAAGUCGCGGGGCAGCAUGGGGGUUGCUUGCAAUCCCCGAUGGCGACCGGCGCACGGGUGAGUAACGCGUAUCCAACCUGCCCUUCACCACGGGAUAACCCGGCGAAAGUCGGACUAAUACCGUAUGUUGUCCAUUGACGGCAUCCGAUUUGGACGAAAGGUUUGGCGGUGAAGGAUGGGGAUGCGUCCGAUUAGCUGGACGGCGGGGUGACGGCCCACCGUGGCGACGAUCGGUAGGGGUUCUGAGAGGAAGGUCCCCCACACUGGAACUGAGACACGGUCCAGACUCCUACGGGAGGCAGCAGUGAGGAAUAUUGGUCAAUGGGCGUAGGCCUGAACCAGCCAAGUAGCGUGCAGGAUGACGGCCCUAUGGGUUGUAAACUGCUUUUAUGCGGGGAUAAAGUGGCCCACGUGUGGGUUUUUGCAGGUACCGCAUGAAUAAGGACCGGCUAAUUCCGUG
rnacentral:rRNA from 1 species